rnacentral:rRNA from 1 species
UACGUAGGGGGCAAGCGUUGUCCGGAUUCAUUGGGCGUAAAGAGCGUGUAGGCGGCCAGGUAGGUCGGUUGUGAAAACUGGAGGCUCAACCUUCAGAGGUCGACCGAAACCAUCUGGCUAGAGUCCGGGAGAGGAGAGUGGAAUUCCUGGUGUAGCGGUGAAAUGCGCAGAUAUCAGGAGGAACACCGGUGGCGAAGGCGGAUCUCUGGGCCUUACCUGACGCUCAGGCGCGAAAGCUAGGGGAGCGAACUGG